CUUUCGACGAGAAGUUUGGCGAUUAUUAUUUUUUGAUGCCCUGAUGAUUGAUAAAUACAACUCAAAUGAAGUUCUAUAAAGCCUUCAUACUAUAAUUAUUAUACACGAUCCAAAACAAAACACGUUUGCCGCUUUCGAAAACAGAAACGACAUGUAAAAUCAUAACAACGAUCGUCAUGAUAUGAACUGUUUCAUUUAUUCGGCAAAGUCCGGUUGUUUCGAGAGCUUGUAAUUUGUUACUUUAAGUCGUGAACAAACGAAAGUUAAAAAUACCAUAAACGAACGAACCAAACACGGAGAAAACUCAACCAAAAUGGCCAUGCGAUGAACAAAGAUGUGCUGCGAAGUAAACACCUAUCACGUCUCAAGAACUUGUGCUCGUGUGUCAAUGUCUCAAAGUGCGGGUUCAAAUAUUUGCAUUAAGUUGUUUACAUCUUCCAAGAUGUGAGAAACGGCCAUAUUCCGGCGGAAAGUUUGAUAAAUAUUUUGAUACACUGUUGUCUGACUCUGAAUCAGAAGAAACCAAUUUAACUACAUGUAUGUGACAAAACAACUUUAUCUGAUGAAACCAGCGCCAACAAAACGCCCGUCGCUUCGCUUAACAUAAAGUGGUCUUGACAUCAAAACAGUUCAAAAGAGAAAACUUGCCUGGUUUUGAAGUUAGACUGUCUGUAUCAGCAUGAUACAAAUUGCUCUUGAGCUAGCGUUAGUACCAAUCCCCAUAUGAAAAGAAAACCCUUUUUAAAUAAUGGUUUUACCUUCCACAGGUUUGAAAACCAAAGAUGUUCAACUUAACAAAGAUGUUAAGCGUGAAAAUAAUUGGUUUCGCUAGAAUACAGGCUUAAAUGGCUACGAAUAGGUCCGCUAUGCGUACUUGUGGUUCUACUGUACGUUCAUUAUACUUCACCGGCGUUUGGUUUGGUUGUAACAGCGAUCGGGAGUCGAAACGGCUUCAAUAGCGAGCAGCUUCAAAGUUCGCGAAGAUGGACUUCAAGGACAUCAUGCACGCUAUCGAAAGAAUCCUGUGAACGCGAUGGGCAAACUCUGAUGCCUUUGAAAUGACCAAUGUGAGGAAAGGCGAAAGACAAAACACAAUCUUGCAGAUGCCCUGAAAAAAAUGAGUACCAGAGAGGAAAAUUUUCAAUAUUGGAAAGAGAACAAAAAUGGAUGUGGAACACCGCCACCUCCUCGCCAGCCACCACUAAUUAGCAUUUGUUUUAUACUUAUAGCGAGAGUUUUGAGCUCUCGUCCUUGUGGCACAACUUUGCACGUACGCAUGCGCGUUUGGUAGCAUAUUUUAUAAUAAAUUUUUUUCUAAGUCUUUUGGCGGGAAACGUUUGUAUAUGUAAUGUUCAUUUGCGAUCUCUUUCUUUCAGAUGCCUUGAAAAUGACCAGUUUUAAGAAGUGGCCAAAGAAAAAUUGUCAACCCUGGAAGGAAGGCAAAAAUUGAUGUGGAACACCGCCACCUCCCCGCCACCACCACUAACUAGCAAUUCUUUUAUACUUAUAGCGAUAGUUUGGUCCAUCCAUCCUUGUGGUACAGUAGCCUCUAAUACGCAUGCGUACUAAAAAUCUAAUGUACUGUGUCCCAGUUACAAGAAACUAAUGUACUGUACGUCGUGACUGUAAGUAACUGAUGACUUCGUGUCGGUUUAAACCGAAGUUCAAACUUCGGGUUCCCGACACGGAGGCAUCGGUUACUUGUAAGUCGUGACAGUAAGUAACCGAUAACCUCGUGUUGGGGAAUCCGAAGUUUUUUUCGGGUUAUCCAACACGAAGUUAUUAGUUACCUACGGCCACGACUUACAAGUAACUGAUACCUCCGUGUCGGGAAACCCGAAGUUUGAACUUCGGUUUAAACAGACACGAAGCUAUCGGUUACUUACAGUCACGACGUACAGUACAUUAAGUUUCUUGUAACUGGGACACUCACCUAGUACGCAUGCGUAUAUGAGGCUACUGUACCACAAGGAUUGGUGGACCAAACUCUUGCUGUAAGUACAACAGAAAUGCUAGUUAGUGGUGGCGGCUGGAGGUGGCGGUGUUCCACAUAAAUUUUGGCCUUCCUUCCAAGAUUGAAAAUUUUGUAUGGCAUCUGCAAAAGAGCCUUGGAAGCAUGGUUUUCAGUAGACUGACACAAGUUUGUAAGAUGAUAAAGUCAAUUUAUUUUGUAAUACUACAACAGACAAAAACCAAUAAAGAUAAAUAUUACAGUACAUAUCUUUCGCGUUCAAUAAA